rnacentral:tRNA from 1 species
GCCCUGGUAGUGUAGUUCGGCUCAUAUAAAUGCGACAGCUAUCAUGAAGCCCUGUCGAGGCUUCGACCCGGGUUCGAAUGCAGUGAAUGUGACAAGAUUUGCUGCCGUGUGUCCCGGCCAGGGCG